ensembl:lncRNA
GGCCCCGCCUCUUGCGCCGAGAAGGAGCUGCAAAACUGCGGCCGGGUGUUCCCACCCACGUGUACUCCUCGGAUCCUCUUAACUUCCUGUGGCCGUCCUCAACUGCCACCCCAGCUUCCAGGUGGAGGGAUGAGUGCACGUCCUUCUACUCGACUAUCUUGAACCAGAAGCCAGAAGCGCAGUCUUAACCACUGGACCACCAGAGAAGUCCUAAUACCCCCACCCCAUGUUUUUAAAUUGAUGCUUCAUGUGUGAAGAAUAAUAACAAAAGUUACUU